GGAUUGUAAAAGUCAGGGGUGUGCCGGUGGAGAUAAAAAUUUUCCUGGUUCACUGGCUUCCUUUUACCUAAAUAGUUCGCUAUCAUCUUGAUGAGGACCCAAAGACUUUGAAGGUGUUUCCCAUUCUACUCCAUGAUGCCAAUGGCUCAACUCUGCAUUAUGACUGGCUUAGCAUUUCACCUGAUGGAAAGAUAUUGGCAGCAACCCAUGGUUUCACAUUCUAUCAUGUGCUGAAACUGGAAAGGUUUUGGAUACAGCUGAAAAAUCACAUUAAGGUUUUGGAUACAGUGUAUAAAGAUUUGUUUCAGAUAUUUUGAUAUGUAACCACAUGCUAAUAUUUGUUAUAUGUUCUGUACUUUAAUUCAUAGAAAUUGUUCAAUUAAGGUUUGAUUUAUUUCACUA